CCUGUAUAUACCUAGGGAGGACGUGUUUCCCCUCCUACUUUCGAGAACGCCCUGCUCUGUCUAUGAGUAGCUAUUCUUUCACCACUUUACUUCCUUAAUAAACUUACUUUUGCUUUGCACUGUGGACUUGCCCUGAAUUCUUUCUUGUGGGAGAUCGAAGAACUCUCUCUUGGUGUCCGGAUCGGGACUCCUUUCCGGUAACAUCACUAUGUUGCCCAGGCUGGUCUUGAACUCCUGGCCUCAAACCAUCCUAUAGAUUCGACCUCCGAAAGUGCUGGGGUUACAGGCAUAGCCACUGUGCCCAGCUGGAACAAUCUUUAUGAAGGUGAAUUAAAGCUGUGAGGCAUGAGACCAGAAAAGAUGCACCAGGAGUAAUGGAUUUUGGUGGAGAAUGAGCCACAGAAACGCGAUCAUGAGGCAAAUGGUGGGGCCUAACCCUGCCUUCUCAGUCCUCGGGAUGGGAGACCGGGCUAGAGAAGAGAAGGCUGGUGUGAAAACGCCGGGAGGCCCUCAUCGAGCCUCAUUCUCAGCCACAUCGUAAGGAUUUAGAGGCCCUAAGCACUGACGACGCUGUGGUGCCACAAAAAUAGACAAGCAGGGCAUGUGCGCUGAAGCUGGAAGAGGCUUCUUCCAUAUUUUCAUUGCAAAAUCAGAACUUUGUGCAGCUGCUGGCUGAUAAACCUGCUCCUGCUCUCUCUAAGGCAAGGCCAAGCACAGCUCCUUUCCCCUAGGGCAUGUGCCUUUGCACUGCCCGAGGCUGCUCCUUGGUCCCAAGUCCACAGUACUUUGCUUCUCAGGACAGUUUUCCAUUCUCAGGUAAGCACUCAGGGGAGCUCUCCCAGUGGCACAGUUCCAGGUCCACCUGAAUCCUUUCAGGAAGGACCUCGUCCCUCUGAAUGCUGGUGAUCACAUUUCAACACAAUUUAUGAAGUGCACCUCGUAGGAAAAACUUAGAAAGCCUUUCCAGAUCCACCAGGCAUAGGCACCCUUCUUUCUUUGCUUCAAAGAAACAAAGAUGGCAUUUAAGCAUGACAUUUAAACUCUUUGGGGUCUACUCUAGAGAAUUCCUCAUUGUUCUGGGUCAUCACCCAGGUAUCCAGGAGAUACACAUAUUGUUAAACUUCCGUUUGUUUUUCUCUUGUUAGUUUGCCUUUUGUUACAGAGAGACUCCCAGCUAGGAACCCAUGAAGUUGGAGGUUUAUGGGAAUGUCUAGAUAUAUUUAUAAAUCAUAAAAUUGUUAUUUUGCUACUCAACUUGUUCAGGAGAAGCAACAGUGUUGCAGAAAGAGGCCCAGAGUGGGGACAGCAAUCCCAAUUCUGCAACCAAUGGGCUCUGUCACUGUGGGGCCUUUCCAUGCCUCUGCCUCCUCAUCUGAAAAUGAGCGGGUUGGAUAGAUUUUUCACUACUGUUCCUUUAAGUUCUACCAUGCGGAGGUUUUUUACAUUGCUACCUUCUUAUGUGACAUAGUUUUGCAAUUAAGAACUCUCAAGUUCCUCUUUGCAGUUGGUAUUUGAGAUGUUAAGAAUGGAAACGCUGAUUCCCCUCAGACCCGCUUUGCAGAUAACCCUGCAUUUUACCGAGAUGUCAAAGCAGGAAGUGCUUGGCUGGAACAUCUGCCGACAGCCUCAUCUCUUUCUGCAAGAUCAUGAUGUUCUGCAUGCUCCUGUGGCCUCUUAUUUCACGUUGCUCUCCCUGCAAAUUUUGAAACAACUUUAAAGAUGAAUAAAAAGCAGCUCAGCAAGUGAAUCCCAGAUCCCGGUAAGAGAGUGUCUCCCCCAACUCACAUAGUGAGUGCACAUCAUCCCCAGAACCACCAUGAGAGUGAGCCUGGUAGCGGGUAGCACCCUGCCUGUGACGAAGCCAGCACACUAUGACGAGCAGCAGCUUCUAGACCCAUGGACCACGGGCACUGCCAACGCUCUCCCUCCGGGGACUCCUCCUGCCUCCCAUACAGGGCCAAACUCCGACGCCCACGAGCUCGCUCAGAAUUGGCUCAGGCUGCAAUCACUUCUCUUCUCCUACCUCCACACCAUUCCCUGAUGGUGGACAGCUUCUCCUUUGAGAACCACACCUGCCUUUUCAGACAAAAGGAGACACCACCCACCCUCCUGCUGAGGGCUGCUCCCCUGGGGCCUUCUCAGCACACCUCUCUCUCUCUAGGUCAAAAAACAAAUUUCACAUGCUGAAUUUUUACCUUUUUUAAAGUGACUCCGAAUUUUGGCACCAGCAAUUAAUUCAACACUUGAAUAAGAUUUGAAAACCUCACAACAAAUCACAAAUAUAUUAUGGGUCCUGUU
rnacentral:lncRNA from 10 species